UACGGGGGGAGCAAGCGUUGUUCGGAUUUACUGGGCGUAAAGGGCGGGUAGGCGGCCACCGCAAGUCAGUUGUGAAAUCUCUGGGCUUAACCCAGAAAGGUCAACUGAUACUGCGGGGCUAGAGUGCAGAAGGGGCAACUGGAAUUCUCGGUGUAGCGGUGAAAUGCGUAGAUAUCGAGAGGAACACCUGCGGCGAAGGCGGGUUGCUGGGCUGACACUGACGCUGAUGCGCGAAAGCCAGGGGAGCGAACGGG
rnacentral:rRNA from 1 species